rnacentral:rRNA from 1 species
CUUACUCCUACGGGAGGCAGCAGUGAGGAAUAUUGGUCAAUGGUCGGAAGACUGAACCAGCCAAGUAGCGUGAAGGAUGAAGGUUCUAUGGAUUGUAAACUUCUUUUAUACGGGAAUAAAACCUCCCACGUGUGAGAGCUU